CUAAAAUUUAGAGAACCACCACUCCAACACCAAUGCUGCUGUAUCCUCCAGCAGAGACCACAAGGAGGGAACGUGAAACACAACUACUGAUGAUGGGACUUCUUAUUCCAGUUUCCACAUCAGGAUCUCGAAUUCCGUUCCAUUCUGCUAUCCACUAUGGGCCAUAAGGAAGGGCCAGUCAUUACAGAAAAUAAAGCUACGUUUUGCUCAGGA